UGAAAUGCAAUUAGUUAUUCUCUUAAAACGACUUUAUUUAUUUGAAUAUUACUUGUAAUAACGAAAUUGUAUCAAUAAUUAAACUAAGAUCUCAAUCCGUUUCUCUUGCUUAUAUCAAAAGUACAUUACUGUACUUUAUUACACACGUUCAUUUCUUUAUAACAUUCGUGCCUUUCAUCAGGGCUUUCUUGGGGCUUUCCUCUGGGCUUUCCUGGGGGUUUUCUGGGGCUUUACUGGGACUUUCCUCGGGGCAUUCCUGGAGUUUUCUUUGGGGCUUUCCUGGAGCUCUCCUCGGGGCUUUUCGGGGGAGUUCCUGGCACUUUCCUCGGGGCUUUCAUCAGAGCUAUCUUGGGGCUCUCCUCGGGGCUUUCCUGGGGCUUUCUUCGGGGCAUUCCUGGGGGGUUUCUUUGGGACUUUCCUAGGGGAUUUCCUCAGGCUUUCCUAUGAGUCACCUGGAAUCAUUAUGAGUACAAUUAAAUCCCUCGAAGACAACACCAAGUUUAAAAGGACAGGUUGUGAGUAAAAGAAUUUGGCCUGAUGACCCAGUUAUGUUAUUACUUCUGGAAUUUGUUGUUUUCAUCAAGGUAAUACAGCAAUACUUUAUUAAAAUACAGGUGUUAGAGGUGUUUUUUGAGUAGUUGAAGAAUAGGUGAAAUUGAAGCGAAGGUAUAGAAUCAGAUUAGUCAUAAUGUUAAAAUUAUACUACGAACAUUAUUUCUGUAUCAUCUAUUUUUCUUCGUAAGACACAAGUAAAAUUAACCUAUACUAAUUCAAACUAAUUUAGUGAUCGUAAAAGAGUUCUUAAGUACAUUAAAUAUGGUUUUAUUGGUUAAUAUCAUCUAUGUUCAAGCAAGAAAAAAAACUAUUUAGCGGUUUUGUUCGUGGUAAUUCUUCAGCAUUUUUUGUUUUGUCGGACGUCUUCCCAAGUCAGCCAGCAGCUAACACAAUGGCGGCGUGGACGGAGGAAGUUUCAAGGACCAACAACACAUCUCGGUAUGACAAGCUAAGACUCGACUAUACAAACUGAUGAAACACCUCUGACCUGUGGGACAGGCUCAUUUGUGAUGCCAUCAACAGCAACUGAUGAAACACCUCUGACCUGUGGGAGGUGAGACUUAUACAGGUAUUCUGUUACUUAACAUCAUGUUGUCUAAUGCUUGUGUUCAUGUACUGUACAGUACAGUGAGGUAUGCUAAAACGAACGGAUCAUACUACGAAUAUUCCUAUAACGAACGGUUUUACCUAUAAAAUUGAGAAUGCUAUAACGAACGAAACUCCUACAACGAACAUUAUUUAA